UACGAAGGGGGCUAGCGUUGCUCGGAAUCACUGGGCGUAAAGCGCACGUAGGCGGCUUCUUAAGUCAGGGGUGAAAUCCUGGAGCUCAACUCCAGAACUGCCUUUGAUACUGAAGAUCUUGAGUUCGGGAGAGGUGAGUGGAACUGCGAGUGUAGAGGUGAAAUUCGUAGAUAUUGGGAAGAACACCAGUGGCGAAGGCGGCUAACUGGUCCGAUACUGACGCUGAGGUGCGAAAGCGUGGGGAGCAAACAGG
rnacentral:rRNA from 1 species